AUCAAUGAUGAAAACCUGGAAUAGGAAGUGCCGUCAGAUGCGACAACUGACGAUGGUCUCUAAUCCACUUUUCUGAGU
ensembl:snoRNA